CCGUACCCCAAACCGACACAGGUGAUCAGGUAGAGAAUACCAAGGAGAUCGAGAGAAUCGUGGUUAAGGAACUCGGCAAAAUGCCCCCGUAACUUCGGGAGAAGGGGGGCCUGAGGCGUAUAGGGAUUUACUCCUGAAAGCGCAUUGAUGGCCGCAGAGACCAGUGGGAAGCGACUGUUUAUCAAAAACACAGGUCCGUGCGAAGUCGCAAGACGAUGUAUACGGACUGACGCCUGCCCGGUGCUGGAAGGUUAAGAGGAAGGGUUAGCUUCGGCGAAGCUCUGAAUUUAAGCCCCAGUAAACGGCGGUGGUAACUAUAACCAUCCUAAGGUAGCGAAAUUUCUUGUCGGGUAAGUUCCGACCUGCACGAAUGGCGUAACGACUUCCCAGCUGUCUCAACCGCGAACUCGGCGAAAUUGCAUUACGAGUAAAGAUGCUCGUUACGCGCAGCAGGACGGAAAGACCCCGUGACCUUUACUACAGCUUGGUAUUGGUGUUCGGUGUGGCUUGUGUAGGAUAGGUGGGAGACUGUGAAGCGGGCACGCUAGUGUUCGUGGAGUCGUUGUUGAAAUACCACUCUGGUCAUUCUGGAUAUCUAACUUCGAACCGUAAUCCGGUUCAGGGACAGUGCCUGGUGGGUAGUUUAACUGGGGCGGUUGCCUCCUAAAGAGUAACGGAGGCGCCCAAAGGUUCCCUCAACCUGGUUGGCAAUCAGGUGGCGAGUGUAAGUGCACAAGGGAGCUUGACUGUGAGACUGACAAGUCGAGCAGGGACGAAAGUCGGGACUAGUGAUCCGGCAGUGGCUUGUGGAAGCGCUGUCGCUCAACGGAUAAAAGGUACCUCGGGGAUAACAGGCUGAUCUUGCCCAAGAGUCCAUAUCGACGGCAUGGUUUGGCACCUCGAUGUCGGCUCGUCGCAUCCUGGGGCUGGAGUAGGUCCCAAGGGUUGGGCUGUUCGCCCAUUAAAGCGGCACGCGAGCUGGGUUCAGAACGUCGUGAGACAGUUCGGUCUCUAUCCGCUGCGCGCGUAGGAAAUUGAGAAGAUCUAUCUUUAGUACGAGAGGACCGAGAUGGACGAACCUCUGGUGUGUCAGUUGUUCCGCCAGGAGCACCGCUGAUUGGCUACGUCCGGAACGGAUAACCGCUGAAAGCAUCUAAGCGGGAAGCCGGCUUCAAGAUGAGAUUUCCAUCCCUUCGGGGGAGAAGCUCCCAGUAGACGACUGGGUUGAUAGGCCGGAUGUGGAAGCACAAAAAUGUGUGGAGCUGACCGGUACUAAUAAGCUGAUGAU
rnacentral:rRNA from 1 species